GUUUUAUCCGAAUCGCAGAGUGUUGUUGUCAUCACAGUCGUCACAAGAAAUCUCUCCCACGCCUGUGACUUGUGAUCUGCCAGCCUUUAAGAAUUUAUUUUGGCUAGAAGACACACUUGUCGGACAUUUCUACGGUUGUUUGACAACUGAUACGACAUGUCUGCAUUGUUCAACUUUCAAAGUCUCCUGAGUGUGUUGCUGUUGAUGAUCUGUACCUGUGCAUAUAUACGAUCCUUUGCCCCUUCAUUGCUUGACAGACAGAAGACUGGCUUGGUUGGGACCUUUUGGAAGAUGGCAAGAAUAGGGGAGAGGAAAAGCCCGUGGGUGGCUGCAGCAUGCAUCAUGAUGGCUGUGAAUGUACUCUUCCUGUCAUAGUUAUAGUGCUUUAGUUGUAAGGAUUAAAUUGAAGAUGGCAUAGUCACAAGAAAUAAUGUAUAGGCAAAGGAAGUUUGGAGUCUGCAAACAUCAGCUGAUUUCAAAAUGUUGUAGUAUUUCUUAACAAAGAGGAUGCAAGUGGUUUUGUGCUUUAAUUUACUAAGGAGAUGCUCAACGAAAAACUAAAUAGGAGGAAAAACUUGUUCCCCUAGAAUUUUGCUGUAUUGCCUGAAAGGAAGACCAAAUUUUUUGUGAUGCUACUGUAAAGUUUUAUAUGUUGUCUCAUGAAAAUAAUCAUGACAAGUAUUUUUC